CGGCCGGAGAGAGGGCGUGCGGCGCCGAGCCUGCGAGCGGAGCGGAGCGGAGCGGAGCAGCCACCCUCGCCCGGGGGACGGGCCCCUUUGUGCCGGCAAGCGACGCGCGCGCCUCCGCCUGAGCAUCCCCUCAGUUCCGG
rnacentral:miRNA from 12 species